rnacentral:lncRNA from 1 species
UCUUUACUGAACAUGUACGUGCCUAGGAAGUCUCAGGAAUGGGUAAGUGCUCCUGCUCCCACACAGUCUACAGACCUGGGUGCAAUGGUGAGAAAGACCUCAGUAAAGCAAAGGAAUUACGAAAGGGAGAGGAUAGAAGAUAAAGUACAUAAUAGUUUCCUGAAGCAGCAGAAUGAAAGAACUCUCUGUGGCAUGAAAAUUUACUGGAGGCAGCAGCUGAGGCUGUGGUGGGAGAAGAAUGACAAGAACUGAGCGUGGGCCACGGGCUCUUACCUUCAGCAACUUCAUCAGCUCUUCCAGCUGGACCAUCAGCUCCCGCCUGCUCUCCUGCAGGGCCGACAUCCUCUGCUCCAGUUCAUCCUUCCUUUGCCUAUCCAAGACGAGAAGCCUAUCAGAUAAAGAGACCCUCAAAGAUGGAUCUAAGGCCAGGUGAAAUGGAUUUCAGACCUGAUCCUGCUACUUACCAGUUAUGAGACGCUGAGCAAGUCAUUUAGCAUCCAAUACCUCAUAAAAUGGUGAUAAUGUCUGUUUUGCCUACUUCCUGGACUGUUCUGAGAAUAAUAGGUAAAAGUGCUUUGGAAAGUUUAGAUGACUAUAUAAAGGUAUUACUUAUAUUACCAGAGUGAAUUAAUGAUUAAAAAACUCUUUAGAAAAUCAAUGCCUUUUGAAAAAUAUAUAAAAUUAGCCCAAAUUUAGAUUAAUAGUAAAGAAACCAUAUUAAACUGCUCAGAGAAAACAGGGUCCAGUAGUAAGUACUUUCAGCACUAGACAGAUUCAAGAAGGAUGACAGAUCAGGACGGCUCCCUGUGUUCAAGAACAGUCACUUUUCCUUGAGGAUAGAUUUUAUGCCAUCUACUCCAGCUCAAUAUGUCCAAAACCAGACUUAAGACUUUAUUCCCUAAAUGGUUUUCUUGUCUCUGUCUCUUUUUUUUUCCUUGUCUCUGUCUCUUUUCCCUGUCUCUGCUAUUUUUCCUUCCAGGUGUCAUGGUUGAAAAACUCAGUCCUCUUUGUUACUUUCUUCUUUAUAUCCUGUAUUCAAUCAAUAACUCAAUUCAGAUCAUUCUUUCUUGGAAAAUGUAUGUGCCUAUCUUUCUAUUCCCAUUUCUCUCACUUUAUCUAAGCACUCCUUACCUCAAGCAUGAAACAGUCUCCUUAUGUGAUUAAUCCUGCUUUCUUUUUUUUUUUUUUUGUGACGGAGUCUCACUCUGUCGCCCAGGCUGGAGUGCAGUGGUGCCAUCUUGUCUCAACUGCAACCUCCGCUUCCCCAGUUCAAGUGAUUCUCCUGCCUCAGCCUCCUAAAUAGCUGGGAUUACAGGCAUCGCCACCAUGCCCAGUUAAUUUUUGUAUUUUUAGUAGAGAUGGAGUUUCACCAUGUUGGCCAGGCUGGUCUCGAACUCCUGACCUCAAGUGAUCCACCUGCCUCAGCCUCCCAAAGUGCUGGGAUUACAGUCGUGAGCCACCGCACCUGGCUCUUUCAUCUUUUAUGGUGAGGAAAAAGCAGUGAAAUAGAAGUCAAUGGCCUCAAAGUUGAGUAUCAGCACCAGUAUUUACCAAAUAUGCAACCUUAGACAAGUCACUUAGCCUCAGUUUUCUCUCUUCUAAAAGGGGACUAGUAACAGCAACAAUAUUCUGAGGAUCAUAUAAGGUAAUAAAUAUGAGAGUGUUCUACGAACUUUAAACUGCCGCUCAAAACAAAGCUAUGUUCAUUUCAUCAUCCCAUAAUGAUCUCAACAGACUUUCUAGCAUCACUGACCCUUGCCUGUGCAAUCGAGACCUACGCUGUCUAUCACAGCAGCCGCUAGCCACGCGUGACUACCGAGCCCCUGAAACAGGGCUAGGCUGAACUGAGAUGCACGGCAAUUGUAACAUACACACUGGAAUUCAAAGACUUAGUGCAGGAAACAGCAAAGUAUCUGGAUCAUGUUUUAAUACUGAUUACAUGUUGAAAGGACAAUAUUUUGAAAAUAUCAGGUUAAGUAAGAUAUACUAUUAAAAUUAAUGACGCCUAUU